UUCAAGUACAAGAAUUAUAGGGUCACUGUUUUCUGAAAAGUAUGUAUGCUAUAUAAAUGACAUUGAAGUUUCAUUUUAUUUUUCUAAUCACUAAAAUGUGUGAUAUAAUUUAUUUUUCCAAAUUAUCAAGGUAUAUCAGAAUUCCAUGCUUUGUAGUUAUCUGAUACAUGGCAAAAAUGGAACUUUCUAAUUCGUACGACUUUUAUACCAAUCAUCUAGUAGUUGCAGAAAUAUUGAGACUCAUAAUUUUUAAAUUUAUAAAUAUAUUGCAAUUCCUAUUGUCUUUUACAAUGAAGAUGACACAUUGAGAGUUGAUAAAGCGAUCAUGGAGCUCAGAAUUUUUCGUGUUUGUUUGAAUCCCAGAGGAGCAAUUUAUAAACACUAUAUAUUUAUUUACUCUAUUCUCAGAACAGUUGACUGUUUUGUCAUUUGAAUUACACAUUUCAAAAAAAAAAAAAAAAAGAAUGACACAUUGGGUAUUCAGUUGUCUUUCUGAGACUUAAUGAGGCUAAUGAUUCAAAGUUUUUUUUUUAAAUAAUCAACAUUCAUGAAGAUUUUGUACUACCUCUUGGAACACAUAUAAAAUUUUGUAUGUGUUCCCUUAUUGCAUGACAAUAUUCAAGACAACUUUGUAAAUAAUAGUCAAAUACAAAAUUUUAACAUCUAGUUUUUCUAGAUGUAUAGAGUGUCACAGGGUAUAAUUUUGUAAAUACAUCAGUAUGAGCUUUUAUGCUUUUUAAAUUUUUUUGAGUGUGAUUUUUAAAAAUUGAUCUUGUUUGUUACUUGUUAAUAAAUAACAUAGAAGAAUGAGAAAAAGUAUUUUAAGUUCAACACUGGCUACUCAUCUACUGGAAAAAUUUCAUUAACCUUAGUGUAAGGCUUAUUGGACACACAAAACUAUUUAUAAUGGCAUACAUAAAUUAUAGUCAUGUGGUUGUAGUAAUAAAAGGUCAUUAUCUAAACAUUUGUAUUUAGGCAUUAUAGGAAAUAUGUCUUGGAAGAGUUUCGUCUACAUUUGUGAUUGAGUUAAUACAGUAUUAUAUUUACGGUACAUGACAGCACUCAAGACAUGCUGUAAAUAUAUACAUAUAUUUAUGCCAGUUUGAAAUAUCUUUUUUACAGAUGCAUUCUUAACACAGUAUAAGCCUGUAAAUAUUUCAUUAUGACCUAACAUUAAUUAAAUUAUACCAGUAAAUUCUUUUACAAUGGAAUAGAUAAAUACUAUUAAAAUAUUAAAUAUAAAACUGUUUAUGAAUAGUUUCUCAUGUAGAGAAGAACAAGCCAGUUUUUCUAUACUGUUUACAUGAAGCAAAAUUACAGGAAAAAAAUUGGGUGCUUUUUAUCUCCAAGAUAGAUAAACUAUGAAAAACUAUUAAUAAAUUUUAAGUUAAUUAGAAAAAUUUUCAAAAUCAUUGUUAGUCCACGAUUUACCAUUGGCAUGCUUAUUUACUUUUACCUGCAGUGAUUGCAUUCACAUAUUUAGGUCAUAAUAGUAUAUAGAUUAAAUACUUUUAAAUUAUGUUUAUAUUGUGGAUUUCAAUUUAUAUUCUGGUUUACAACUUAUAAAGAUAGUAUUUCAUUUAUAAUUCAGUUAAUUCUGCAAUCUCAAUGUUAUGACUAAAUUCAAUUUGUGGUAAAUACAUAUCCUGUAACUUUUCUAAAUGUUUUAAUAUGUUUAUAUAUCUUUAAGCUAUUUUAAAAUUUUGUAUAUUUUCAUCUAGUAUUAUUAAAGGUAAAUACCUAGUAUAGUGUACGAAAAAACAGCCUGUAUCACAUUAAAAGCAAUCAAGAGAAAUUAAAAUCAGAGUUAGGAUUAAUGAGUAACAUUUAUCCCAGCACCUUUCAAGAUUAUACACAGCUCCGUACUCAGUUUGUGGACAGCCUGAGCUCAUUUGGCCUUGUGUCAAAAGAAAGUGUGAAAACAGAAAAACUGAACACAUCCCUUCAACACAAAAGGAAUUGUAAGAAUAUGUAUUAUUUGUUGCAAUUUUAGAGUUAUCUCCUAAUAUUUCAUCAUUUGUGAUUCUCAAAUGUAAUUUGAUUUUUUUUGUUGGACAGUAAGAUAGCCAAAUACCAGAUCUACGAAAAGAACAUAAGGAUUGCAGCUUAAGGUGAAUGUAAUUUAACAGUGAAAUAUUCUCUAGAAGAGGGGUGUUGUAUUAUAAAUUAAAAAAAGAAACAAGUUGCCUUCUUGUAGACAUACUUUAGUUCAUACUAAAAGAGAUAGUUAAGAAAUUCCUGAUUAUGCAUAUGUUGUGUCAUUAAGGAAAUUAAUACUUUUGUAUCAUAAUAUGUAUUAUUUUACAGUAAUAAUUGAAGAUUUGUGCAAGUCAAUUAAACUAUACAUGCUUGGAAAUUGCCACAUGGGACCAUCUUGAAUGAACAGUUUAUGCAAACAGAAAACAUGUUCAGGAAGAAUGUUAAAAUUUUAACACUUGUAAAUAGAAAGAAGAUGACAUUUGCCUGUCUUUGUAAUUUAUGAGGGUAUUUGCAAAUAAGCAUCAAAACAAGAAGAAAAUAUUAAAAAGACAUUUUGUGCCAGGACAUCAUGGUAGUGCUGGAUUGCCUAUCCAACUCUGUAUAAAGGUUUUUCAAACAAUUUGUGAAGAAUGUUAGUAUCUUCAGAGUCUUCUGCAUCAGCAAAGAGUAGUGCAUUAACUAAUGGAAAAGAGAAGAUAAAAUUUCUGGUAAGUAUUAGUGACACAUAUGAGUGAAAUAUAAUGUUUUAGCUAGGAUUUAAUGCUGUGAAGAGACACCAUGAAUGUGAGUAUCCUUAUAAAGGGGAAUAAUUGGUGCUGUCUUACAGUUUUAGAAAAUUAGUUCAUUUUUUGUCAUAAUGGGGAACAUGGCAUUGUACUGGCAGAUAUGGUGUUGGAGGAGCUGAGAAUUCUGCAUCUUGAUCAGUAGGCAGCAAGGAGUGACCAUGUGCCCUGCUGGGCAUUGCUUUAGUAUAGGAUACCUGAAAACCUGCCCCUGCAAACAGGCCACAUGUCCUAAUAAUGUCAUUUCCUAUGAACUGAACAUACAACACAUGAAUCUAUGUGACAAGUCCUGUUAAAUGUAUCACACGUAGAAACUAAAAAGUAUUCAGCAAUAAAUAUUGGUAAUGUCAGUCAUGCUUAUGAAUAUAGCAUGCUGUAUCUUAUGUUUUUGUUAUGUCUCAUUUAGGAUGAGUUGCAAGUUGUCUACUACAUUUUUCUUAGAAUAUAACUCAGGAUCAGAAACAGGCCGAAACACUUUUCCAAUCAUCCAAAUUACUUUUUUUAUUAAUGAGACAUGGCUGUUCUAGAACUCACUCUAGACCAGGUUGGCCUCAACCCCGAAAUCGGUGUCUUCCAAGUGCUGGGAUUAAAGACAUGUGCCACCACUGCCAAGCCUGUAAAUAUAUAAAUUAUAUAAAUAAAUAACAGGAUUGUGCUUACUUUGUUGGAUGUGUUUGAUUUGCCUGAGGGAUUUCCAGUAUAUACUCAUAUAGAUAUAGAUAUAGCUAGAUAGAUAUGUAUAUAAGUAGAUAGAUAGAUAGAUACAUACAUACAUACAUAAUUCUUUCAAAUGUACAGACGGAUACUUUAAAUAGUAACAUAAUUUAAAUAAAAACUUGGAGUGUUCAAGAAGAUAAUUUAGCUGUUAUGCACACCAACUGUAUUUAUUAAUGACCUUAGGUCUGUUCCCAUCUAUCAGUUGCUGCCUACAACUACAGCUCCGGUGUACAUCUUGCCUCAGACACCUGUCCCAUGUACAGGUACAUGCACUUGAAUGUAAAGUAAGAUGCUAGGGUCAAAGCUAAAUUUACAACAUACAGUACAUUUUCAGAGGACUUAAGUUAGGAUUUCGGCAGCUAAUCACAUCUAUCUUUUGUAGUAUCUGAAACCUCUGCUCUAUGAGGGCUCAAUGGAAAAUGGAUAGAAGCAUUUGGUAUUAAAUAUAAAUUGUUUUUUUUGUUCAAGACCAGGCUAAUUCUCAUUUUUUUUUCCGUAUACAUCCUACUCUAUAUUGGGUACUUUAUUUUUCAGGUGCUCAUGAUGACUAGUCCGAACCUGUGAACUUCUGAGAAAAUUUACAGUUCUGAAAACUAGAGGUGGUUACCGAAUUGAAUAGCCGUUGGUUCUACAGCCACUAUAAUGAUCUGAAAAGUUGAAUGUGUUGCAUGAACACUUUCAGGAAUCAUAAUAGAACUCAGCUAAUUAGAUAGAGACUGGAAUGUUGAUUUGAAGACAAUUACUUUAUAAAGAUUUUCUCAUUGCUGCUUUUGCAUUAUCCCAAGAAGUGGAGACACUACUACAUGGAUAAGAACUGUAUGAUUGAAUUGACUUUGGAAUCAUCUCAGUAUUGUCAUAAAAUAUUCACUGUAUGUAGUCAAUUUUUUCCUCAGAGUUGAUGGUUAUAAAUACUUGUCAAGUUGGAAAAAUUCACUUUUACUUUUAUUUGCAUCACACUUACUAGAUUAGAGACUAGAUUGCUUUAAAUUGAGUCUUCAUUUACAACUUCAAGGUAUGUCUUUCUCUUUGUAACUAAAUGACUUCGUACCUGUGCAUUCCAUAUAUUUCACUAGUAUAAUGUCUGGUAACAUCAAGUCAAUAUGUUGGUAUAUGAAAUUCAUUUUCAGAUCUUUACCCAGUAGUCUCCAUUAAAUUUCUAAAAUGGUGA
rnacentral:lncRNA from 1 species